rnacentral:rasiRNA from 1 species
CACCUCUGGAACCGUACCUCCGU